rnacentral:rRNA from 1 species
AUUAGUGGCGAACGGGUGAGUAACACGUGAGUAACCUGCCCUUCACUCUGGGAUAAGCACUGGAAACGGUGUCUAAUACCGGAUACGACCUCCGACCGCAUGGUCAGGGGGUGGAAAGAAUUUUGGUGGAGGAUGGACUCGCGGCCUAUCAGCCAGUUGGUGAGGUAAUGGCUCACCAAGGCGACGACGGGUAGCCGGCCUGAGAGGGUGACCGGCCACACUGGGACUGAGACACGGCCCAGACUCCUACGGGAGGCAGCAGUGGGGAAUAUUGCACAAUGGGCGCAAGCCUGAUGCAGCAACGCCGCGUGAGGGACGACGGCCUUCGGGUUGUAAACCUCUUUUAGUAGGGAAGAAGCGACUGGGUUUUCCUGGGAGUGACGGUACCUGCAGAAAAAGCACCGGCUAACUACGUGCCAGCAGCCGCGGUAAUACGUAGGGUGCAAGCGUUGUCCGGAAUUAUUGGGCGUAAAGAGCUCGUAGGC